rnacentral:rRNA from 1 species
GACGAACGCUGGCGGCGUGCUUAACACAUGCAAGUCGAACGGAAAGGCCCUGCUUUUGUGGGGUGCUCGAGUGGCGAACGGGUGAGUAACACGUGAGUAACCUGCCCUUGACUUUGGGAUAACUUCAGGAAACUGGGGCUAAUACCGGAUAGGAGCUCCUGCUGCAUGGUGGGGGUUGGAAAGUUUCGGCGGUUGGGGAUGGACUCGCGGCUUAUCAGCUUGUUGGUGGGGUAGUGGCUUACCAAGGCUUUGACGGGUAGCCGGCCUGAGAGGGUGACCGGCCACAUUGGGACUGAGAUACGGCCCAGACUCCUACGGGAGGCAGCAGUGGGGAAUAUUGCACAAUGGGCGGAAGCCUGAUGCAGCAACGCCGCGUGCGGGAUGACGGCCUUCGGGUUGUAAACCGCUUUCGCCUGUGACGAAGCGUGAGUGACGGUAAUGGGUAAAGAAGCACCGGCUAACUACGUGCCAGCAGCCGCGGUGAUACGUAGGGUGCGAGCGUUGUCCGGAUUUAUUGGGCGUAAAGGGCUCGUAGGUGGUUGAUCGCGUCGGAAGUGUAAUCUUGGGGCUUAACCCUGAGCGUGCUUUCGAUACGGGUUGACUUGAGGAAGGUAGGGGAGAAUGGAAUUCCUGGUGGAGCGGUGGAAUGCGCAGAUAUCAGGAGGAACACCAGUGGCGAAGGCGGUUCUCUGGGCCUUUCCUGACGCUGAGGAGCGAAAGCGUGGGGAGCGAACAGGCUUAGAUACCCUGGUAGUCCACGCUGUAAACGGUGGGUACUAGGUGUGGGGUCCAUUCCACGGGUUCCGUGCCGUAGCUAACGCUUUAAGUACCCCGCCUGGGGAGUACGGCCGCAAGGCUAAAACUCAAAGGAAUUGACGGGGCCCCGCACAAGCGGCGGAGCAUGCGGAUUAAUUCGAUGCAACGCGUAGAACCUUACCUGGGUUUGACAUGGAUCGGGAGUGCUCAGAGAUGGGUGUGCCUCUUUUGGGGUCGGUUCACAGGUGGUGCAUGGCUGUCGUCAGCUCGUGUCGUGAGAUGUUGGGUUAAGUCCCGCAACGAGCGCAACCCUUGUUCACUGUUGCCAGCACGUUAUGGUGGGGACUCAGUGGAGACCGCCGGGGUCAACUCGGAGGAAGGUGGGGAUGACGUCAAGUCAUCAUGCCCCUUAUGUCCAGGGCUUCACGCAUGCUACAAUGGCUGGUACAGAGAGUGGCGAGCCUGUGAGGGUGAGCGAAUCUCGGAAAGCCGGUCUCAGUUCGGAUUGGGGUCUGCAACUCGACCUCAUGAAGUCGGAGUCGCUAGUAAGCGCAGAUCAGCAACGCUGCGGUGAAUACGUUCCCGGGGCA